UACAGAGGGUGCGAGCGUUGUCCGGAAUCACUGGGCGUAAAGGGCGCGUAGGUGGCGUCGCAAGUCGAUGGUGAAAGCUCGGCGCUCAACGCCGAGUCGGCCCUUGAUACUGCGAGGCUGGAGCACUGUAGAGGCUAAUGGAAUUCCGGGUGUAGCGGUGGAAUGCGUAGAGAUCCGGAAGGACACCGGUGGCGAAGGCGGUUGAGCUGGGCA
rnacentral:rRNA from 1 species